rnacentral:rRNA from 1 species
UACGGGGGGGGUAAGCGUUGUUCGGAAUUACUGGGCGUAAAGGGCUCGUAGGCGGCCAACUAAGUCAGACGUGAAAUCCCUCAGCUUAACUGGGGAACUGCGUCUGAUACUGGAUGGCUUGGAUUCGGGAGAGUAAUGCGGAAUUCCAGGUGUAGCGGUGAAAUGCGUAGAUAUCUGGAGGAACACCGGUGGCGAAGGCGGCAUUCUGGACCGACAUUGACGCUGAGGAGCGAAAGCCAGGGGAGCAAACGGG